GGCUCGGUUUGACCCUAUAGUUUGAUUUUGAACCAGAAAAUGAAAGAUAGCUCAGGGAGUAUAUCAAAACCUUUCUUGCCAUUUGGUACCUACUGAACAAGACACUGGUUUGCAAUGCCCCAACUGUGGUAAUCGUUUUCGAUAGGUCUUUCUUGGCUGCAUAAAGCAUCCGACACUGCUGAGGGAGCGUCUUCAUUCACUGAAAUGUUCUUAAUUUUUCCAUCAAACAUGUAUGAACCUGUUCACUGGAACAACAGCUUUGACAUGUGCUCAUACCUCAUGUUAAACUACUGUCCUACAGGCAAUUAUCAAAGAAAGAAUGAUAGAUGAUAAUUCACAACCAUACAAUAUAUUACAUAUAUCUAUUUUAUAGCCAGAUUAGAUUCCGUAAAAGAUCUGACAGGUCUACAUGGGUUUCUGAGCUCUCACUGAAACACCAUUAUUACCCAAGCGUCCCUGUUGUGAAAUCUGUAGAGUCAGCACAUUGUGUGUUGACAUGCAUAGACAGUGAACUGUUGACAGACAUCCCCGCACGGCUAUGCUAACACACAGUAUCGAUACGAUAUGCUUUCUCAUGAUCUUAGCUCUACCCACAUUUGUCUCCAUAUGUCUACUCCAAGGUUUUUGUUUUGAAAUUUGAGAGCAUUGAAAACCAAGUGCCCAGACCCACUCCACAGAAAGGCUGUAUAAAGAUGAGGUUUUCUGUCCUCAGAUAAAGAGAGCUGUGAAAGAAUGUCUACAGAUGACGAGGUCCCAAUGAAGAGCAGUGGUUCUCAGUCCUGUUCCUGGGGACUCAAAGGGAUACCUUGUAACUGGAGAUUCUUUCAAAACGAUUGCCUACAGUUACAGGGUGACCAGGGCCAUCUGGGAGUGCCUCCUGGAGGAAUUCAGGCGUGUGAAGGCUACCUGUGUCCUGCAUAACUUCAUGAGGAUGGACACAAGGACCAGGAGGGGAUCUGCAGCUUGCCUCCGUGUGCCAGAGGAGAAGUCUGGUGCUCUGCAGGAUGUUUCAAGGAUGGGGUCCAACAAUGCAGCAAGAGAGGCAAUCCUUGUGCAGGAGAUCUUCACCUCCUACUUCUUCGAAGAAAAUAUUAUGAGAUUCACGCCAUUGGUUUUGUUGGUAGUCCUACAUUAUGCUCAAAUAGCCACAAUAGUCUUUUGGCUACUGUCUAAAACUGUAAGGGUACAACGUCAGCGUUCAAUGUAAACGCGUGCCGGAAGUUGCACAAAAUUAUCAUAAUGUUCAAGUUUCUACUCACAAGACCUAAAAUUUGCUCAGUGCCCCACAAAAAUUAGAGGGAACAUUGCUCCAUUUAGGUGAAACAGCCUGAUACAAUAUGAGAACAUGUCCCUCUAACAUUUUUGACAUGCGUUUUUCUGGAUUUUUGUUGUUGUUAUUUUGUC